rnacentral:rRNA from 1 species
UACGUAGGGUACAAGCGUUAAUCGGAAUUACUGGGCGUAAAGCGUGCGCAGGCGGUUUUGUAAGUCUGUCGUGAAAGCCCCGGGCUCAACCUGGGAAUUGCGAUGGAGACUGCAAGGCUUGAAUCUGGCAGAGGGGGGUGGAAUUCCACGUGUAGCAGUGAAAUGCGUAGAGAUGUGGAGGAACACCGAUGGCGAAGGCAGCCCCCUGGGUCAAGAUUGACGCUCAUGCACGAAAGCGUGGGGAGCAAACAGG